rnacentral:rRNA from 1 species
CAGUCGCCGCGGUAAUACGUAGGGUGCAAGCGUUAAUCGGAAUUACUGGGCGUAAAGCGUGCGCAGGCGGUUAUAUAAGACAGAUGUGAAAUCCCCGGGCUCAACCUGGGAACUGCAUUUGUGACUGUAUAGCUAGAGUACGGCAGAGGGGGAUGGAAUUCCGCGUGUAGCAGUGAAAUGCGUAGAUAUGCGGAGGAACACCGAUGGCGAAGGCAAUCCCCUGGGCCUGUACUGACGCUCAUGCACGAAAGCGUGGGGAGCAAACAGGAUUAGAUACUCCUGUAGUCCCUGUCUCUUAUAC